ACUUAAUUAAAAACCCAAUCAGCAAGUAUAGUAAGUUGAUAUUCACGAAUUCAACAAUCAAUGCAAAUUAAUGAACACUGGAUAAUUAAGAACGUCAGCAAAUUUUGGUUUUCACCAAGGGCGGGUGUAUGUAUUUCAAAAGGAAAAUUAAAUAAAGUGAACUGACAGUAAGCAAGACUAUACACUAAGAGUUGCAUAUAAGUACGGGUAUAGGCCUAUAAUAGGAUAGUUUCAGAUGCAUUUGGAUAAAACAUGUAAGAUUGAUUUUUUCAAAGAGCAUCAAAAUUGAACGAAUCCGAAGGACAAGUGCUAUUUAAUUGAGGUCUUCAAAUUCACUUGAGGUCUUUGAAUGGACGACUUGCGCUUUAGACUAAAUUUUAAUCUAAGUAAGAACAACGAAAUCUACC